rfam:Prevotella sp. CAG:255 genomic scaffold, scf157
ACAGUGUUCCGGCUCUGUCGCUUGUAAGUUCAAUCUUAUAAGAGGAAAGUCCGGGCAGCAUAGGAUGCUCCACUUCUGAAAAUAGGAGCUGUUGGCGACAGCAGGAGAUGCAGAAGAAAACAACCGCCGUAAAGGCAAGGGUGAGAAGGUGGUGUAAGAGACCACCAGCUGGCAAGUGAUUGACAGGCUGUGCUAUCUGGAGGCUGCAAGUUCAUGUAAACCAUCGUCUGAGGGUUAUCCGUCCGAAAUAUCACGAUGGAGGGUAGAAUGCUCGAAUUAUGGGGUAACUCAUAAUCUAGAUAAAUGACAGGCACUUUAAUAUGCUAUACGCAUUUUAAAGGACAAAACCCGGCUUAUAGGGACACUGUUUUC